AAAAUGCAGCGAAGAAUAUGGUUACUAAACCAUCGCUACUUUAUAGCUUCUUCGUAUAUUUCCGAAUCUAUUUUUAAAAGCUAUCCUGUACACUUUUUAUCGCAAGUGUUGGUUUAUGUUUGCUCAUUAUAUUACGGUUUGUGACAGACUUUUUCUCUGCGUAUGAAGUAACUGACUGAUGACUACUGGGAAGUCUGCAUGUAUACAUCGAUAAAAGUAGGUUCACUCCCGUGUAUCUUCGAUAAAUGAGGUUAAUGAAUUCAUUUUUUUUUGUUUACAUCAAACAAAACGACUUUCGCGAUAAAAAUGAAUCCACAACACUGCCUUAACGGUUUUUAAAAUAGCUUCGAAUGCAUCGACGAUAACUACCGAUCUCCACGAUGUUAAUCGAUAUUAAACAAUGCUAUAAGCAUAUGUAUGUGUAAAAACAGGUGACGACGAUAUUGCACUAAAUUCGUCAUUCGCCGGCCUCAACCCAAUUCGCCAUCGAUAUCUACGUCUCCAAACCUAUAUGGCUGGACAACAGCAGUUGUUUUGACCGGAUCGCGUUGCAGCGAAGCCAUAACGCAGCUGACCUUGAUCUGGAAUGUUAUAAUUUUGGCGCAACGUGCCGAACUACACGAUGACUCGAGGAGGAGAAGAAAAGCCGAAUUUUUUGGACACAGCACAGCACUCGAGUUUUUUCAUUGUAUUCACCGCCGUAUUGCUUAAGAGAGACGCUAAUUUGCGGCGAGGAUUUUUGUUGGAUAUUUUUGGCUCCUUUGAUGAUCAUGGAUGUUUUUCCGUGUUUCGAAAGAAUACGCGGAUUGUAUUCUAUAAUUCCCGCAUGCAGAAAAGGUUGAAUUCGAGAUAAAAAUUGAGAAUAAUAAUUAUCGAAGAUACCAGUCUGCUUUUUCCUCCUCGCAGACAUCAACGUAUCCCCAACAGCUCAUCUUGCAAAUCACGUGACUACAAGAAAUAUAAUAUAAUUAUCCGAACGAUUGACGGCGGCAAAAAUGUGCAUUCGCUCAUGUCCGAUCCAUCUCCAAAUAAAAACUACAUCGCACACUCCGAAGCCAUUCAACGAAGACCAGAGAGCGCGAUCGAAGGACCCAGACGCAGCAGCAGACCUCGAAUAAAAAAGAAGGAUGACAUUUUUUUCCUCAAUCCUUGAGACCCUCGUAUGAGAUAUGCGAAAUCGGUAAUUCGUAUUCCCCUCGACGCAGCACCGCAAGCAACGCGAGAGCCUCGAGAAUGUGUACGCGAAGGUCCUUCCUCCUCCGAAACCCAAAUCAAAACGAGCAGCAAAACUUUCUGCCCACCUCGCGGGACAUCCACACGCCUGCAUGAACUCCCGCCGUCGUGUGCGUGUGUCUCUUCCGCGCAUCGAGGCGAUGGAAGGAAAAAAGAAUACAACGGCUUCGCGAACCGGUUCUUCCGGUCUCUCUUUCUCGCGCGUGUACACAUACGCGGAUGAUACGGUUUGACCUGCUGUACAAGCAAAUCGACCCGGUCGGAUUUUUGCUCGAGAGCCGGAUCGAGCUGAUUGUUUGUAUCGCGGGGAGAUCGGUGUUGGAGAGAUGUGAUUGGAGGUUUUAUUUUGCUCUUUUGCCCUUGCGAAGCUUGUUUUGUCGAAAGACCUGUUUUUCGAUCGAAUGUGUCUUUUUUUGUACUUUUGAGGAAAACUUUUCGUUAUUGCUCUUUUUUGUUCAGUUUUAUCGAAUUUAUGAAUUUGCGAGGUAGUCGUGCGUAAAAAUAAUUGUUUACUGUUAUUGUUAGAGCACGUAGAUUUAUAUUGAUUCACGUAUAGUAAACUUGUUUGCUGUUAAAUAUAAUACCGAGUAGGGGCACUUGUAGUUCUUUCUUUGGCAUACCCGGCAUUAUACCAGUUUGUCUUAUUAUGUAGCUUCGCUGGUUUCUACAGCGAGCGGAUAUUAUUUUUAAUAAUGUUUUUUCGGCUCUGCAAAUUGAUAGCCUCUCCAUCCUUGAGACGAGAAAGAAUUUACGUCGUUGAAGUACAUCGUGUUAAUAAAAUUAAAGCGAUACUGUUUGCAAACUUGAUCUCGAAA
rnacentral:lncRNA from 1 species